AGUGAACGCUGGCGGCGUGCCUAACACAUGCAAGUCGAGCGAGCGGCGGACGGGUGAGUCAUGUCUGGGAAACUGCCUGAUGGAGGGGGAUAACUACUGGAAACGGUAGCUAAUACCGCAUACCAUCAGAUGUGCCCAGAGGGGAUUAGCUCGUAGGUGGGGUAAUGGCUCACCUAGGCGACGAUCACUAGCUGGUAUGAGAGGAUGACCAGACACACUGGAACUGAGACACGGUCCAGACUCCUACGGGAUGCAGCAGUGGGGAAUAUUGCACAAGGGGCGCAAGCCUGAUGCAGCCAUGCCGCGUGUGUGAAGAAGGCCUGCGGGUUGUAAAGCACUUUCAGCGAGGAGGCGUUACUCGCAGAAGAAGCACCGGCUAACACCGUGCCAGCAGCCGCGGUAAUAC
rnacentral:rRNA from 1 species